rnacentral:ncRNA from 2 species
UUCCGACGCGCAGCAGAUCGUGGCUCCUUACGGGCCUAAGAGGGAACAUGGGUGAGCCUCGGCUCCAACCAUGGCUGCCCCCGCAACUGUAAGCAGCGAGUCGCUCCGCACACACGCCACUGAGCAAUCGGGAAGGCCGCGCCGCGAUGACGACCUGCCAGCCAGGAGACCUGCCGACGACGCAGUCGCGAG